rnacentral:rRNA from 1 species
AUUGAACGCUGGCGGCAUGCCUUACACAUGCAAGUCGAACGGCAGCAUGGAGAGCUUGCUCUCUGAUGGCGAGUGGCGAACGGGUGAGUAAUGCAUCAGAACGUACCGUGUAAUGGGGGAUAACGUAGCGAAAGUUACGCUAAUACCGCAUACGACCUGAGGGUGAAAGCAGGGGAUCGCAAGACCUUGCGUUAUACGAGCGGCCGAUGUCAGAUUAGCUAGUUGGUGAGGUAAAGGCUCACCAAGGCGACGAUCUGUAGCGGGUCUGAGAGGAUGAUCCGCCACACUGGGACUGAGACACGGCCCAGACUCCUACGGGAGGCAGCAGUGGGGAAUUUUGGACAAUGGGGGCAACCCUGAUCCAGCCAUGCCGCGUGAGUGAAGAAGGCCUUCGGGUUGUAAAGCUCUUUCGGCCGGGAGGAAAUCGCACAGGCUAAUACUCUGUGUGGAUGACGGUACCGGCAUAAGAAGCACCGGCUAACUACGUGCCAGCAGCCGCCGUAA